AGCUAUCAAUCAACUUUAGACCGAAUACAACAAUUUUCCAAAUACGGCGAUGCUUUAUUUUCCUAUAUUAAAUUAAUUUUCUUAGCACCAACCGAAAUUAAAUUAAAUUCCAAUAAUUGCAAUGUUACAAAGUUGCGUACAACAUCGAUUAAUGUUUUCCGUAAGAUUCAUCUGUAACAAUAACAGCAUCAGCAUCCCACCAAGUAUUAUCCGCGUCAGAUUCCGUUACAUUUCCUAACGGAAAACUGACUUUUCUCAUAUCACCAACCGUCAAACGCUGACGUCCGUUAUCUCUGACAUAAACUUUCUGAACGCCGCCAGAUUCCACGCGCAGCGUGUUCCCCACCGUGGGUCCCCACUCGGCUACGACCGACGGCUUCCGUCGUCGGAGACGAGUGUCCCAUAUCUCGACUGCAAGAUUACCAUGUGCGCCUUCUCCUGCGGAAACAAUCACAUCUGGUGAUGCAGCCGCAGAAGUUAAAGGCGCAUGUGGGUUGGUAGAAGAAAUAACACCAUCCUCGUAUUCAUCGAAAUCUAAACCUAAACCAAAUCCUAUACUGUCCCAAAGCUUAACAACGUUAUCACCAUUGGCUAAUUCUAAAAGAGAAAAAAAAUCACCAAUACUAUGUUGUCGUCUAUGCCCACUGUUUUGAGUUUGGAAUACGUUGUUCACAUCGUAAUCGUUACUGUUUCCUGUAAGGCGAAAGAAAUCUUUGAAGCUUGAUGAAGAUGACAUAGAUGGUUCAUCGUCUUCAAAUUCCGAUGACGAAGAUAAGCUAACAAUGUCAUCGUUUUCGUUAUCUUCAUCAUCGGAGCUGAAAUCAUCGUCGUUGUCGAAGGUGAUUGAUGGAAGGGAAGAAGCUUUUUUACGAAGGUGGAUGAUGAAAAUGGUGACUUUGUUGAUGAGGCUGGUGAAAGUUGCGACUAAGGCAAGAAUAACAGCACCCCAUUUGCAGAAAUUGAAAGCAAUGGAAACGGAUUGGAUUCCAUUGAAGGAAGUGGCUGUGAUUUGUGAAGGGAAAGAUGGGUUUUGUUGUAAUGAAUUGAAACCUGCUUGGAAAUCGUUGAGUCUAUCAAUUAAUGGAACUUGCAUGUUUGAGGUUUUGGAAAUAGAGAGAAAAAAAGGGUUGAAGCUUGAGAGAGAGAUAUGAGAUUGGAAAAGUGGAAGGAGAGAAAAAUUGGUGAGGGAGUGAUAGUGAUUUAUGGGAAAAGGGAAACUAUUAAAAUAAUAGAAAUGAAGGUUAAGUGGGGGAAGAGGAUUAAUAUUAGUUAGUCCCACGUAAGAUGGCUUUUUGGAAUGAAGGACCAAUAGAGAGAAGAUUGGAAUGGGUGAGUCAUGAAAUGAUAAAAAAACGUGAAAGAGUGGGGCAUGGUCGGAGGAAAGAGUCAGUUCUAGAAUUGUAAAAUAUGAACUAAGUUGUUUACGUUUCGGUGGCAAGGAACUCCUUCUAAGGACGUAUUUGGAGAAUAUCAGAUUUGAUUUUUAGGGGAAGAACAGUUGACCAAUAUACAUGCCUCUACGCACGAAUCGGAUUAGUCUUCUACCUUUGAU
rnacentral:lncRNA from 1 species